GAUAGUUUAGUUUAGAUAAAACAAGUGUUUUGAAAACAUUAGACAAGUGAGAUCCCACUUAACUAUCA
rnacentral:tRNA from 1 species